GGGCAUAUGGUGUAGUUGGUUUAUCACGCUCGCUUAGCAUUUCCUUCUGAAGAAGAUGUGCGAGAGGUGUCCGGUUCAAUUCCGGAUAUGUCCA